AACAGUGGGCGUGGCCUACGCGCCAGACGUCAUGUCAGAUGGCAACAGAAUCAGGCGGGAGGGAGAAGCCUUUCAAAUUUAAAAAUCCUCCAUUUCAGGGACAACAAUAGUAAUACAGAAGCUGUGUGUCACCGGCUGGCUGCCUCUGCUGCACCACUGGCAGAGAGAGGAGGGCAGGGUGUACCGUGUACAAUUAAGUCUAGAUGGACAAAGUGGUUCUUCUCUGCCAUCAAAUUCUAUGCUCUUAAAGCUUUCCAGUACUGACACCAUACAGACUUGCCAGGAAUGGGAGCAAUCACUGCAUGCUUGAACAGUAAAUGAAAGAUACCAGGAGAGAGAGAGAUUACAGAUUUUAGUUAAGUUACCAGGCCUGGAGGUGUGUGUGUGUGAAGAGGAGACCGUGUCCGUUAUGUGAGCCAUGCUUCUGUUUUAGCCAGCAGGUUGAAAUUGUUAAAGACGAAGGGGACACAGCAUUGGAUCAUCUGCGAGACCAUCAGCAUCAGAUCUUCAGCCACCUGAGGUUACUCAGAUUGGCCCUUGCAGCUCCGUAGUUAAGGCCAGGAAGUCUAUAUCAGAAGAUACAGACCCUGGCAUCGACACUCCCACUCUCAACUAGGCUUAGGGGACACUGAGUGUGAUGACAAAGAUCCCGGUCUGCACAUACGCAGAAUGGGUUGUAUGCAUGCGCACCACCUUGUUAGUUUUAAAAUGUACUUUAACUGGUCAAAGGGGGUGAUUCCAACUUGAUCAAAACUGUGCUAAAUUUAGCACAGCUAUGAUCAGGAACACAAACAUGCAGGGGGAUGCCCAGCACAGGGCUAGCCCGCCUCACAUGUCAGUCCCUGCCCCGUCGCAG